rnacentral:tRNA from 1 species
GCGAAAGUGGCGAAACUGGUAGACGCCCUGGAUUUAGGUUCCAGUGCCGCAAGGCGUGCGGGUUCGACUCCCGCCUUUCGCACCA